CUACACGGGUAUCUAAUCCUGUUCGCUCCCCAUGCUUUCGCUCCUCAGCGUCAGUAACAGCCCAGAGACCUGCCUUCGCCAUCGGUGUUCCUCCUGAUAUCUGCGCAUUUCACCGCUACACCAGGAAUUCCAGUCUCCCCUACUGCACUCCAGUCAGCCCGUACCCACUGCACACCCGGAGUUAAGCCCCGGGCUUUCACAGCAGACGUGACAAACCGCCUACGAGCUCUUUACGCCCAAUAAUUCCGGAUAACGCUCGCACCCUACGUAUUACCGCGGCUGCUGGCAC
rnacentral:rRNA from 1 species